AUGUUUGUUUCAAAAGAUCAGUCUCAUUCAAGCUUUCUCUGCCAUUCCUUUUUAAACAUCUAUCUGAUGCCUGAACUUCCAAGUAAUUUUCUUGUCACAAAGACUGUGCAGAAGAGGAAAGAAAACCCCUGCUGCUUCCUCCCUUCCUUUUCAUUCGAUUAUUUACUUGUUUUUCAGACUCUCUUCUCCAUUUCCAUUUUUGUCAGCUCUUUUCUGUGCCAGCCCCUCUUCUUUCUGCCUGGUGCAUCUGUGUAUGCGGGUCUGCAUAUUUGCACAACCAAGUUUGUUUGAAAUCCUCUGCAAUGAUGUGAAAUUCUGCAAACCCGGCGACUCUUGAUGGCACAUCUGACGACUGGCAGGCAAUGCCUUCUGCCUGUAAACAUAUAUAGGCAGUAAUCAUUUCCAUAUACAAAUUGUAUUUGUUCUUCUGAAAGCAGAGCAAUUAAGGAGUCUGCAUUUUAAAAAAAGUUUAUGCUUACUGGUUUUCUGUUUUUCAGUUUUACAAAUGAAGGAAAUGCCUUGUCUUCAAAAUGUUUGGACUGUUCUUUUUGUAUUUCCAAUAAAUUGGUAAAUAACUCAACA
rnacentral:lncRNA from 1 species